AUGGCACCCCUGGGGUCAAGGGCCAGGUUAGGUUAUCAGAGAGGAGGAGGAGAUCUACUGGGUGAAGAUGUUAAGUACCACAAUAACCAAAGAGAAAGUUUGAAAUAUGCCAGCAGCUGCCAGUCUGGAGGCCUUCCCACAGCUGUGCAGAACUUAGCUCUGCGCGCGGCUGUUGCCUCUGCUGCUCCCCGGGCUGGGGCUGUUUCCCUCUACAAACACGCCUCCAGUGUUCGCAGCCCUCAUCCUGCCAUACAGCCUCUGCAGGCACCCCAGCCUGAGGUCCAAGUGCGGGGACAGGAGCCACUGACUGCCUCCACGCUGGCCGCAGCACACCCCCAGGAACAGAAGCGGAUGCUGAGAGAACGCUUGUUCCCGCUCAUCCAAACAAUGCAUUCAAACCUGACGGGGAAUAUCACGGGAAUACUGCUGGAGAUCGACAACUCUGAGCUGCUGCACAUGUUAGCGUUCCCCCAGUCUCUCCACUCCAAGGUGGAUGAAGCGGUAGCAGUUCUACAGGCUCAUCAUGCCAAGAAAGAAGCUGCCCAGAAGGUGGGCGCUGUUGCUGCUGCUACCUGUUAGACAAGGAAAAAUCGAUUCAAAAGCCAAUUAACCCCUCAUGAAGUUCAGCUCAAGGUUUGAAGACUUCCUAGCUUGUCCUAUGGACCUCAACACCAAGAACUACAAAUUGCAAAUUUAAUAGGUAAUUUUGUAUCAAAACGUCAAUUAUGAAGUGCCUAGAAUUUUUCAAUUAUACAAAUAUGGUCUCAGGGUUCUGCUGUGGCCCAGUGUUAACUUUUUUUUCUAUUGUGGGUUUUGAUUUGUCCUCCAAUAAAUUGGUUUAUUUCGUGUA